UGGGAAUUUUGGACAAUGGGCGCAAGCCUGAUCCAGCCAUGCCGCGUGCGGGAAGAAGGCCUUCGGGUUGUAAACCGCUUUUGUCAGGGAAGAAAUCUUCUGAGUUAAUACCUCGGGAGGAUGACGGUACCUGAAGAAUAAGCACCGGCUAACUACGUGCCAGCAGCCGCGGUAAUACGUGGGUGCAAGCGUUAAUCGGAAUUACUGGGCGUAAAGCGUGCGCAGGCGGUUUUGUAAGACAGAGGUGAAAUCCCCGGGCUCAACCUGGGAACUGCCUUUGUGACUGCAAGGCUUGAGUGCGGCAGAGGGGGAUGGAAUUCCGCGUGUAGCAGUGAAAAUGCGUAGAUAUGCGGAGGAACACCGAUGGCGAAGGCAAAUCCCCUGGGCCUGCACUGACGCUCAUGCACGAAAAGCGUGGGGAGCAAAACAGGAUUAGAUACCCCUGGUAGUCCACGCCCUAAAACGAUGUCAACUGGUUGUUGGGAAAGGUUCCUUCUCAGUAAACGUAGCUAAACGCGUGAAGUUGACCGCCUGGGGAGUACGGCCGCAAAGGUU
rnacentral:rRNA from 1 species